AACCACUCAGCACAGCAUUUUCACAUUGGUACUACCAACACUGGUACAGACAGUUUAAAUAAAUAAAACCAUAACAUGUGUUAAGACUGUUAGCAGGUAUUCAAUCAGUUCAUUGUUUAUUAUUAGUCAUAUAUGAAACUGCAGAAUUGGUAAGAUGGCAUUUACAGAAUACCAACACUUAUGCUACAGCUGCAUAUAAUAGGGAAUGCCAAGAAGUAACCUGCAGGGCAAGGAAAACCUGGGUAUAACCACAGUCAGUUCUCAAUACAGCACAAAAAAAACAGCACUUGAAACAAAUCAGGGAAUUUAAUAGGUCAGGAUGAUGUUCAAACGAGGGUUUUGGGGUCAAAUACACAAUUUAUGUAACUACUGUAUAUUAUUUUGUGUGCCAGAUGAUUGACUCUUGACUUGUUAUUUUGAGUGCUGGAAAAGUCAGUAUUAUGAGACUCCGCCAAAACCAAUUCUGCAUUUCUAUUUAUGGCAAACACUGUUAUUGUGGUUGUUUCAAUGCAGUACAGCAUAGCAUCACACAUUUCGUAUGGUAGUACAGUGUGAUUCAUUCUUUUUUUGCCAAGAUAGUAAGCCUUCCAUCAAAGAUAUUGAGAUGAAGGGUAUUGUAAUGCAACCAAGGUUCACAGCUAUUGAAGUACCAGUAACAUCUUUCAUCUCCAGAGCUAUAUCGCCAUCAUUCACCACAUCACAUCCAGAUGUUCUUCAUCCUGUCCAUGUCAUGUCAAGAAUAUCCUCAUGUGCAACCACUUCCAUUGAUGAAAACAACUGAAAGAUAAACAAAGAGAGCACAGACUUUGUUAUGCACUGUGUUUAUAGGUGUACAAGACCUACUAGUAUGUAUCUCAAUUGGGCUGCUAAAACAACUAAAACAUGCUUUCUACAAAGCUGUGGCAAUCAUUUUUAUUACGGAAUAUUUUCAACAAAUAACAUUGCCUGGUGUUAAGCAGAAUAAAAUGAUAUACAGUAUCAGGCAGCCUAGACCUAGGCCUUUACUCGGCUGGCUUUGGCAGGUAUCUUUGGCAGAUUUGGUCAAUUUCGGGGUAGCAUUUGGUAAUUAUCGCAAUGGCCAUUUGCAGGCUCGUAAAGGCCUACAAUGACUUUCAGAAGUUG